UACGUAGGCAGCAAGCGUUGUCCGGAUUUAUUGGGCGUAAAGAGCGUGUAGGCGGCCAUUCAGGUCAGCUGUGAAAACUCGAGGCUCAACCUCGAGACGUCGGUUGAAACCGUAUGGCUAGAGUCCGGAAGAGGAGAGUGGAAUUCCCGGUGUAGCGGUGAAAUGCGCAGAUAUCGGGAAGAACACCCAUGGCGAAGGCAGCUCUCUGGGACGGUACUGACGCUGAGACGCGAAAGCGUGGGGAGCGAACAGG
rnacentral:rRNA from 1 species